AUGGCGACGCCAAGAAAGGCGGAAGUCGGGUUGCCUCGCUGCCGGGCGGGAAGAGCGUCGAGGCACUGCGCGGGCAAGGGUGCGGGGCGCCGGGGCCUCCCCGAAGGUGAUGUCAAGCAUGCAGUGGUACACAAGGUGGGUGGCAUGACGGGACUGCCGGCCAGCCCUGCGGCUGCAAGCCUAGCAAGACGGCGGGGCAGGCCUCCCAGCCCCCGGCACGCACAUCCCACCGCACAACUUCUUGCGGACGAUCCGCGCGCCGACAGAGCGCAGCCGAUGACGACGCGCCGACCAUGGUGA
rnacentral:rRNA from 1 species